rnacentral:rRNA from 1 species
AUUGAACGCUGGCGGCAGGCCUAACACAUGCAAGUCGAGCGGCGCAGCGGACGCGUGAGGAAGGCCAAGGAAUAUGAAUGGUCGUGGGGGAUAACGUCCGGAAACGGGCGCUAAUCCCGCUUCCUCUCCGAUUCGGAUAGGUCGGAUUAGCUAGUGGGUGGGGUAAGGGCCUACAAAGGCGACGAUCCGUAACUGGUCUGAGAGGAUGAGCAGGCACACUGGAACUGAGACACGGUCCAGACUCCUACGGUAGGCAGCAGUGGGGAAUAUUGGACAAUGGGCGAAAGCCUGAUCCAGCCAUGCCGCGUGUGUGAAGAAGGUCUUCGGAUUGUAAAGCACUUUAAGUUGGGAGGCGUUACCAACAGAAUAAGCACCGGCGAACUUCGUGCCAGCAGCCGCGGUAAGUC